rnacentral:lncRNA from 1 species
CCUUCUCCACAGUCAUAAUCGUCCCAAAAACCCUCCUUUCUGCAAAUGGCUGAGGCUUUGCUCGGAACUUUAAAUCAAAACUUGCAAUCUUUUGGCCAAGACCAACUUGCAACGUUUUGGGGUGUUGACCAACAGAUUCAAAAGCUUUCCAGCAAUCUCACUGCAAUCCGUGCUGUUCUCAGAGAUGCUGAGAGAAAACAAAUAACAAGUUAUGCUGUCAAAGAUUGGCUGCAGAAACUCACAGAUGCAGCAUAUGUGCUGGAUGAUAUCUUAGAUGAAUGUUCAAUUCACUCCACAAAACUGAAUUUUGAUGAUGCACAUACAUCAUGCCUAACCCGUUUCCAUCCUAAGGACAUUCUCUUUCGUUUCAAUAUUGGCAAGAGGAUGAAAGAUAUCACACAAAGAUUUCAAGACAUUCAUGAAGAAAGGAGCAUGUUUAAUUUAGAACCCGGUGUCACAGAGGUCCAAACAAUCAAUGAUAAUUGGCGCCAAACUAGCUCUGACAUUACAGAACCUGUAGUCUACGGUAGAGACCAGGAUCGAGAGCAAAUUUUGAAGUUUCUUUUCGAAGAGGUUAGUGACAGUGAAGGCCUCUCCAUCUAUCCCAUAGUUGGCAUGGGUGGACUUGGAAAAACAACAUUAGCCAAGCAGGUCUUCAAUGAUAACAGGGUAUGCAAACAUUUUGACUUGACAAUUUGGGUUUGUGUUUCUGAUGAUUUCAACACCAUGACAAUACUCCGAUCCAUCAUAGAAUGCAUCACUGGACAAAAAUCCAAACUCAAAAGCUUAGAAGCAAUCCGGAAAAAGGUUGAGGAAGUGUUGCACGGGAUGAAGUAUUUACUUGUUCUUGAUGAUGUGUGGAAUGAAGACCAAGAGAAAUGGAAGCAGUUGAAGGGAAAAUUGCAAUGCGCAAGGGCAGCAAAAGGAGCUACCAUUUUGGUCACUACUCGACUCGAGGAAGUUGCUAACACCAUGCAGACACAUCCUGCUUACCAUUUGAAAGAAUUGUCAGGAGAUGAUAGUUGGUCAUUGUUCAAACACCAUGCGUUUGGACCAAACAGAGAAGAAACGGAAGAACUCGUGUCAAUUGGCAAAGAGAUAGUGACAAAAUGCAUUGGUUCGCCGCUUGCAAUCAAAACUUUGGGAAGCCUAUUACGUGAUGAAAGUGACGUAAAACAAUGGCAGAAUGUAAAGGAAAGUGAGAUUUGGCAUAUACGGGAGGAAAGUAGUUUUGCAACAGGUGAGGAAAAUUCUAUCAUGCGUGCUUUGAAAUUAAGCUAUUUUAAUUUGGAAUUGUCAUUGCGGAGAUGCUUUUCUUUUUGUGCAAUUUUCCCCAAAGAUUUGGAAAUAGACAAGGAAGAAUUGAUUCAUCUCUGGAUGGCUAAUGGGUUUAUUGAAAGUGAAAGAAACAUAGAAGUGGAGGAUGUUGGAAAUAAAGUGUGGAAUAAAUUAUACCGUAGAUCAUUUUUUCAGGAAGCAAAAUGUGAUGAAUUUGGCAUGAUCAAAAGUUUCAAGGUGCAUGAUCUAUUUCAUGAUCUUGCCCAGUCUAUUAUGGGUGAGGAAUGUGUGGUUGUUGUGAAAGGAAGAUUGACUACAUUGUCAACUAAAGUUCACUAUUCAAGCUUGUUCAAUUCUGGUGAGUCUGAUGAUAUGACUGCUCAAAGAGUUCACUAUUCAAGCUUGUUCAAUUCUGGUGAGUCUGAUGAUAUGACUGCUCAAAGAUUCAUGACUGCUUUGAAGAAGGUUGAAUCCCUGCGGACUUUUCUUGAUUAUGAGGGUAUUGGUCCGAUGCCAUCAAAUCCUUGUCUCCGAGCAUUGCAAACAAGCUCUUCUUUGUUAUCCCCACUCAAGGAUUUAACACUUUUGAGAUACUUGAGUUUGAGUUUGACUUUUAAUAGGAGUUCGGAAGAAAACUUAAAUAACUCAAUUUGUCAGUUGCCGAAACUACAAACAUUGAAACUGUGUAAUUGCCACCAAUUUCAUGGGCUGCCUAAGAACUUGACACGAUUAGAGGAUCUGAGGCAUAUUGUGAUUAAUGGCAGGGAUUCAAUACAAGAGAUGCCUUCGAAUAUUGGCAAGUUAAGGCAACUAAGAACCCUGAACAUUUUUGUUGUGGGUUUAAAACCAGGGUGUGGAUUAGCAGAGUUGCAUAGCUUAAAGCUGGGAGGCACGCUGAGAAUCAGAGGCCUUGAAAACAUCCCCAAUGAAUGGGAUGCUAAACAAGCAAAUUUAAUGAGCAAGAAAGAGUUGAAUCGCCUACACUUGUCAUGGGGUGCUAGUGCUAAUUCAGAAGGUAGUAAUGUUAGUGCGGAGAAAGUACUUGAAGCCCUGCAACCACCCUCAACUCUGAAGAGUUUUGAGAUGAGAGGAUAUCGAGGAAGACAAUUAUCCCAUUGGAUGAGAAGUGUUGUAGUUCUGAGAGACUUGGUGGAAGUUAACCUCUUGGACUGUGACAACUGUGAUGAGCUGCCUCCACUUGGCAAACUAGCACACUUGAAAAGGCUAGAGGUGAGUGGAAUGAAAAAUGUGAAGUGGAUAGAUGGUGAGACAUAUAACGGCGUGGAGGAGAAGGCAUUUCCAUCGUUGGAGAAAUUGACCAUGAGAAAUUUACCAAAUUUGGAGAGAAUGUUGAGGGAGGAAGGAGUAGAGAUGCUCCCUCGACUUUCUGAAUUAAGAACUUUUUGCGUCUCCAACAUUAAAUUUCCUCGUCUUUCUUCUGUUGAGAAACUUAUUGCUGUGAGCAUUGACGAAGUGGCUUCCUUCAUGGAAGGGGUUGUGGGGAAUCUUCCUUCUCUAAAGACCUUGGAAAUUCAAAGCGUUAAAGGAGCUGUGGUAUUACCCAACCAACUCCGUGUGUUGGAUGCGCUACAAGAACUACGUAUUGGAGAUUGGCAUGAUGUGGAGUAUUUUACUGAACAUGUGCUAGAAGGUCUGACUUCUCUACGAACUUUGUCCAUUAAUUACUGUAAGAAAUUAAAAUCCUUGUCUGAAGGUGUGCGGCAUUUGGCUUGUCUUGAGAGUUUGACGAUCAGUGGUUGUCCAGAGCUGAUGGAUCUAUCAAGCAAUAUGAGCCAACUAACUACCCUUUGGACUGUCUCAAUUAAGGUAUGCUCCAGAUUACCGUAUGGCUUACAACAUGUCCCUUCCCUAAGAACUUUGGAUAUAACAUCUUGCAAAUGUACUUCAUUGCCGGAUUGGGUCGGAGACAUGACUUCUCUUCAAAAAUUAAGCAUUAGGUUCUGUAGGGAGUUGAGGUCACUACCGAAUAGCAUUCAACACCUCACCAACUUGUCUCAUUUAAGCAUACACGGAUGUCCUCAUCUGAAGAAGCGGUGCAAGAGGGAAACAGGAGAGGAUUGGCAAUACAUAAAGCACAUCCCAAAAAUAGAACUAUUCCAUUGUGAAACCGACCUUUUAUGGUAAAUUCAAUAGUGUUGUGUUUACUUGUGUCAGUUUUUCUUUAAAAUUUGUGUAACCUUUUGCGUAGUGUAUAUAUUGAAUAAUAAAACAACAUUUCAGUAUUUUCUGUGCGCAGAUAAAGUAGUUAAAGGAAAUCAAUUUUUUUAUAUGCAAUUUCUAGGUGAUAUAAUGCCUGCUAUAAAAUCAUUUUAUUCUAUCUUUAACCACUCUUUCUCCUCAAGAUUUUAAAGAAGUUCUUGCUGUUGUUGAUCUGGAUUGAUCUGGAUUGCAUGUGUGAUGCUUGAAUAAGCUUAGCAGUGAUUCAAAUAGAUCAAUCCUCUGGUAUGCAUCAUUCUUUUAAUUUUUCUGUUUUGUUCUCUAUAUAAUCAAUGAUGCUACUUUCCGUAGUGAUUCAAAUUUUUAUCUGUUAUAUACAGGGUUGUAUGUACCUCAAGUUGUUACAUAAUUUAGAUCUUGAAUUUGUUUGAGACCAAAUACUUUUUAGUGAAUUUCUUUUGAAUGUGUAAGUGAUAGAUUUUUUAUUGUUUACUUAACAUAUACAAUUUUAAUUUGAACUGUUUAUUUAACACGUAUAAAAAAUGAUUUUGGAAAAUUGUUCACUACCACUAGUGUGGAAAAUCAUUAAUUUGAUUCAAAAUUACUGUGUACGCACGAUGAAAGUGAGGUAAGACAAUGGGAAAAUGUAAAGGAAAAUAAAUUUGGGAUAUACAGGAUGAAAAUGGUCGCUUGUCCUGUUAUAUUUGUGUCAAGCCAAAUACUGACUUCGGACAGUAGGUAUUGGGUAAAAUCUAGGUCUCGUUUUGUAGGACUCUGUGAUAUCAUAUAUAUUUGGAUGAUUUUUAUGAAACACAAAUUUGAAAUAGAAAAUUGUUUGAGAAAAUAUUCUAUAGCAUAAUUGAAAGGAAAUUUAACAAGAUUAAAAUAAUCAAAAAUGAUAAUGGAACUGAUUUAUUGUUACAUUCCUUUUAUUAGGAACAAAGUAUUCUGCAUCAAACCUCAUGAGUUGAAACUCCUCAAAAAAGUAGAAAAGUAAAAAGGAGACAAAACUAUUUUUAGAUUGUUAAAGUCAUAUACUUUUUCGGAUAAAUUUACAGAAACAUAAUCAUAAUAUGUGCUGGCUUCACAUUAAUUAAAUAGGAAUGAAUUCUGUUUAAUUGAUAAAAUUCACCCCACAACCGGUAUCGAUGGCAGUUCUGGGAGGCACGCUAAGAAUCAGAGGCCUUGAGAACGUCCCGAAUGAAUGGGAUGCUAAAGAAGCAAAUUUGAUUGGUAAGAAGGAGUUGAAUAUCCUGCACUUGUCAUGGGAUGGUAAUGCUAAUCCAAAAGGUAGUAAUGUUAAUGUGGAGACAGUACUGGAAGCCCUAGAACCUCCCUCAACUCUCAAGAGUUUUGAAAUGAAUGGAUAUCAGGGAAGGCAAUUAUCGAGUUGGAUGAGAAAUAGUGGAGUUUUGAGAGACUUGGUGGAUGUUAGACUCUCCAACUGUGACAACUGUGAAGAGCUUCCCCCACUUGGUAAACUUCCACACUUGAAAAGCCUAUACAUAAGUGAAAUGAAAAAUGUGAAGUGGAUAGAUGUGAACUGGGAGAUAUGACUACUCUUGAAGAAUUAAGCAUUGGGUUCUGUGAGGAGUUGAGGUCACUGCCGAGUAGCAUUCAACGCCUCACCAACUUAUCUUAUUUAUUGAUAAAAGGAUGUCCUGAUCUGAAGAAGCGGUGCAAGAGGGAAACAGGAGAGGAUUGGCAAUACAUAAACCACAUUCCGCAAUUGGAACUAUAUUUCCAGAAGAAACCGACUUUUUGUGGUAAAUUCAAAAGUGGUUUGUUUACUUGUCUCCCUACUUGUAUCCUUUUGCGCAAUGUAUAUAUUGAAUAAUAAAACAACGUUUGAGUAUUCUCCAGUUUUAUGGUUGAUGUUUGGCAGGUACUAUACCAAUUUCUGAUUUCGUAGAAUGUACCCCCUAAGAUUCAACUUCGUCACUAAUGUUUGUGUGCAGAUAAAGUAGCAAAAGGAAAGCAGUUUUUUUAUAUGCAAUUUCUAUGUGAUAUAAUGCCUGAUAUCAAAUCAUUUUUAUUCUUUCUUUAGCCACUUUUUUCUCCUCACCUCAGGAUUUUUCCGAAGUCCAUGUUGCUGCUCUGGAUUGCAGGCGUGAUGAUGCAUCAUUCUUAGCAGUUAUUCUAAUAAGAUCAGUCCUAUGGUAUGCAUCAUUCUUAUAAUUUAUCUGUGCUUUUGUUCUCUAUGUAGUCAUUGAUUGUACUUUUCAAAUAGACUUAAAAUUUUUAUCUGCUAUAGUUUUCUAUGUGCCUCAAAUUGUUACAAAAUUUAACUUUGAAUUUAAGACCAAAUAUUGUUUACUGAAUUGUUUUUGAAAGUGUAAGUGGUAAGAGAGAUUUGUGAUUUGAAAUUUUUAUCUGCUGUAUAGCGUUGUAUAUAUGUGCCUCAAAUUGGUAUAAAAUUUGUUUAAGAUCAAAUAUUAUUUUUACUGAAUUGCUUUUGAAAGAGUAAUGGUAGAGAGAUCUGUGGUUGUUUACUUAAAACGUAUGCAGUUUUAUUUUGAAUUGUUUAUUUAACAUGUAUAAAAAUUGGUUUUGAAAAUAUUGUACACUAGUGUGGAAAUUCAUCAAUUUGAUUCAAAAUAGGCGUGCAGGCUUGAGUUUGGAUUCAAUUGAUUGUGUUUGCAAUUCUACAAAGAUCAAUCUACUAGGCUACAAGAUAUCAUUUGAGAAACAGAGCACAUCAAUAAGAAAUGGUUAGUUAGUUAGUUUUGUGUAGUCACAGUGCUAUGAGUAGCAGAAGAUAUUUGCAUUUUGAUAAAUGGUUUGAGUGGUAGUUGUAGUAUUAAAACCAUGUAAAGAUGCACUGAUGUAUUUAUUCUGCCACUGUGACCUUUGUCAGUUUAUAUUUGAAAUUUACGAAAUAAGCUUUCUUUUGUCUGAAUGAGUUUCUUGGAAAUUCGAUUCUAUUAGUUAGAACCAUAAUGCGUUAUUUAUUUGCUAUGGUUCUUGUGGCAACAAAUGUAUUUGUUAAAAUUUGUGAAAAUAUGUAAGGUAGUGUAUUUACUUUAUAACAACUCAUUCCAGUGCAGCAGAUUGUGAAUAGAUGAUAAACUAUUAAUUGUGCUGAAACUUUUUUGGUUGUGAUUAUGUUCUUUAGAAUGUAAUAGAUGAGGACAUGGCUAGAGCGAAUUUGAUGUAUGAUCUGAGGAGUACCAAAGAUUAUACAGGCAAGGAUUACAAAUUGGAUUGCAACUACGGAAACCAUGUGCAAUAUGGCAAAGAUUGUUGUUACUUCCACAUACUGAUUUCGCGGAGUUAGUCAAAAACUCCACUUUUUGGACCAUGUGAACAACCUUGGUGGUGUGACAAAUUAAGUGAAUGUUUUGGUUAAACAUUUAUUUAAUAAAUUUCAUUAUAUUUUAUUAUUUGUUACAUAUAAGCGUUAUUUAUUUAGGUUUAAAGAUGUUUUAUUUUCAAAACAGAGUUAAGAGAAUUGAAGUAUUACUUAAUGCUAUGGUCUCAAUUCUUAAAAUCACUUAGCAUUCUGGUUAUUGUUAAUAUUCACAUUCUUCUUCUCAUCCAACUUAUUUAAAUUUUAAAAUCAUUUAAAGCCCAGUUAGUUAUUAGUCCAUGAACAAACUAGCAUUGAAAUAUAAUUGCAAUAUUUCUUAAUGAAAGAAAACAUUGAAGCAUUACUAAGAGGUGUUACACAAUACAAGAAAAUAAUUGCAAAGCUAACUAUUAUAUUCCUUCUUAAUACUCUAAAGCUUCUACUCUUUCCGGUUAAAAUAUGUCAGCUAAUUAAGUCAUUCAUUUUGGGUUAAUACAAUUCUUAAAAUACUUUCAAUUUUUUCUUUUGAUCUCUCAAUGUUUCUUAAUAUGUUUUUUCCCAUUCAUAUGAUGAUGUUUUAUGCUGAUAGAAUAAAGAAAGAAACUUAAUACAAGUAAUUCAUUAACAUUCCAAUGAUGUAACAUAACAACACUCAAUCUAAUAAACAUGUAGACAAGAGUCAUAAGUAUGAAAAAAAAAAAACUAAAAGAAUAUACUUUAUUAAAUAACUAAAUUAAAAGAAAAGUUAUUGAAUAAUCAAAACAUAAAUCAAUAAUAUAUUUAGUACGUCAAAAUUAUCAUUAUUAUGACUCUAGAUCAAGCAUAGAUGAUAUAAAAUAUGAUCAGAAUAGCACGCACAAAGGAGUGGGUAAAGAAAAAUUCCUACUGACCAUUGGGUAGUAUAGUCAGCAGAUAACAAGGUCUCCAUAGUUGGUUCUCCUCUCUUCAUGAUUUCUCAUUAAAUUCUCACUGUUUCACUUGCUAUUUUAAAAAAUGGUUGAACGACCACUACAGAGCGGCAAAAAGCAACUUUUUCCCAGUUGGGUCAUGAGAGCACUGUCACGUGAGAUUUAUUAGUUUGUAUAAAUUUGGUUUAUAGAACCAGUCUUUCUCUGUUUCCGCUAUUUUCGGUCAUUUAGCAUAUAACGUGGACUUGCUUACCACGAAAUGUGCUGAUGCAUUGCAUUCUGUUGGACUUAUAUAAACUACGCUCAAUUCAUUAAUAAAAGAUAUGGUGUGUUGCUUCCUCCAGCGUGAGUACUUUUAUUUAUUACUUUUUUAUAAUUGGUAUCAGAGCUCCAAAAGGAGCCUGAUACAGGAUGAGAUGAGAGAGUAUAAAUUGUGAGAGAGUGAUCACUGCAAGCGGAGUGAAAACACUGUGAGUGUGAGAAUCAAAGCUUGUUCACCAUGUCGUCUGAAAAAUUUGUUCAACUAGUCAUUAUAAAGUUUGAUGGCCAUUAUGAUUUUUGUUCAUGACAAUGGAGAAUUUCCUAAGAAGUAAGGAAAUGUGGCAUCUUAAGAAGGUAUUCCAACCUCUGCACCUGGAACUAUCCUGAGGCUCAUUGGAAGACUAUUGAAGAGGCCAAGCUCAAGGACUUGAAAGUCAAAAAUUUCUUGUUUCAAGCCAUUGACAGAGAAAUUCUUGAAACUAUUCUUAACAAAGCAACUUUGAAAGAAAUGUGGAGCUCCAUGCAAAAAAAGUAUCAAGGAUCCACAAAAAGCACAACUUCAAGCACUAAGAAGAAAGUUUGAAUUGCAUAUUAUGAAAGAAGGGGAAUCGGUUAAUAGGCAGACUUCUCCAUGUAGGCACAAUUGUCAGCAAAAUACUUAGAUAUAUUUGACAUCGAAAUUCAACUAUGUUGCAUCUUCGAUAGAAGAGACAAAUUUAGAUGUUUUAACUAUAGAUGAACUACACGAUAGUCUUUUAGUGCAUGAACAAUGCAUGCAAGACUUACAAAUAGAAGAACAAAUUCUGAAGGUAACAAAUGAUAAUAGACCUUCUAGGGACAGGGGUGGCAGAGGUGCAUUUAAAGAAGGUCGUAGCAAAGUAGGACGUGGAAGAGGUAGAUACUCAUUGAAUAAAUUACUCAUUGAGUGCUUCAAAUGUCACAAACUGGGUCACUUCUAAUAUAAGUGUCCAAAUUGGGAAAGGCGGGCUCAUUAUGUAGAACUUGAUGAAGAAGACGAAGAACUUCUAUUAAAGGCAUAUGAAGAACUUGAUCACAAUACACAUGAAGAUGAAUAACUCCUAUUAGUGGCAUAUGAAGAACCUCAUCACAACACACAUGAGGACGUAUGGUUUCUAGAUUUUGGCUGAGUCAAUCAUGUGACGGGAAGUAAGGAAUAGAUUUUUUUAUUUUGAGGAAGGAUUAUGAAAAACUGUGAAGCUUGAAAAUAAUACAACAAUGAUAGUGGAUGGAAAAGGAAGCAUUCGAGUACAAAUAAAUGGUUUUACUCAGGUAAUAUCAGAUGUUUAUUUUGUCCCUAAGUUAAAGAAUAAUUUACUUAGUUUAGGCCAGCUUCAAGGGAAAGGCUUAUCCAUCUUAAUCCAGCAAGGCAUCUGCAAGAUAUUCCAUCCAGAGAAGGGCUCUAAAAUGAAAGGUAACAAAAUGUUUUAUGUGAUAGCAUUUGUAGCAUCUAAAGCAUCAAUGUGUAUGCAAACAAAUACCGGUUUCGAUCAAGAAACAAAUUUGUGGCAUUUCCAUUUUGGUCAUCUUAGCUACAAAGGACUAAACACACUUACAAGCAAACAGAUGGUCACAGGACUUCCACCACUGAAAUUCCAAAAUAGAAUUUGUGAAACAAGUCUAAUUGGCAAAUAGCAAAGGGAGCCAAUACCAAAGAAAUGCUUACGAAGGGCCUCAAAACAACUUCAACUCAUUCAUGCUGACAUUUGUGAUCCCAUCACACCAUCCUCAAAUAGCAACAAGAGGUAUAUAUUAACCUUCAUUGAUGAUUUUUCUCGUAAAGCUUGGAUCUACUUUUUGCAAGAAAAAUCUGAGGCUUUGACUAUGUUCAAAAGAUUCAAACCUGGUAUUGAAAAAGAAGUGGGUAUGUUCAUCACGUGUCUCAGGAGGUGAAUUUCCAUCAAUGGAGUUUGAAGAAUUUUACACAACUCAAGGAAUUUCUAGACAAUUAAUUACUGCCUACACCCCUCAGCAAAAUGGAGUUUCUGAAGAAGCCUGGUGUGGUGAAAAGCCAAGAGUAGAUUAUUUGUUAGUCUUUGGUUGUGUAGCUCAUGCUCACAUACCUGAUCAAAAGAGAAGCAAACUUGACGACAAAAGCAAACAUUGUAUAUUCUUGGGUGUCAGUGAUGAAUCCAAAGCCUACAAAUUGUUUGAUCCUUUAGCAAAGAAAGUCAUUAUAAGUCGGGAUGUCAUCUUUGAGGAAGACAAGAGUUGGAACUGGGAAGGAUCAAAAGAAGAGUCUAACACUGAUGUUCUAGACUAGGACGAACAGACAUUUGAAGCUUGAAGAGAAGAUUCAAGAUCAACACAACAGAAAGGCCAUGAUAGUAUCACUGUUGAGGUGUCCUCAAGCUAUCCCAAUGACAACUCAAAUGAAACCAGUCCACCACUAGCAGAGAACACUAAUGAACAUGUAACUAAAGUCUAGGGGAGGAUAAUGCGGUAGAGAAGAAAACCAGUAUGAAUGGCAGAUUAUACCUAGUUUUAUGCAAAAGUUAACCUCAUAUGGCAUCAAUGUUGGCUGAACAUGGAGGUGAUCAUGGGAUUUUAAAACAAAACUCAAUGAACAUGGGGAUAUUGAGAAACACAAGGCUCGGUUGGUGGCAAAAGGGUACUCACAGCAAUAUGAUGUGGAUUACACUAAAGUCUUUGCCCCGGUAGCUAGGCUCGAUACCGUGCGAGUACUAUUAGCCUUAGCAACUCAACAUAGAUGGGAGGUAUUUCAACUAGACAUCAAGAGUGCAUUUCUUCAUGGUGAGCUAAAAUAAAAGGUGUAUAUACAACAACUUGAAAGUUUUGUUAAUGAAGGCAAAGAAAACAAAGUAUAUAGAUUGAGAAAGGUGUUAUACGGUCUUAAACAAGAUCUAAGAGCUUGGUACAAUAGAAUUAAGGCGUACUUUGCCAAAGAGCAAUUUGAAAAAUGUCCUAGUGAGCACACCUUGUUUACCAAGAAACAUGGAGGCAACAUCUUAAUAGUUAGUCUUUAUGUAGAUGAUUUGAUUUACAUUGGAAAUAAUAGAAGAAUUUAUGAACAAUUUAAAGGCUCAAUGAUGUUGGAGUUUGAUUUGACUGACUUGGGAAGAAGGAGAUAUUUUCUCAUCAUAGAAGUAAUUUAGAGUAAAGUUGGUUUUUUCAUUUGUCAACACAUAUAUGCUCAAGCAAUAUUGACACGAUUCAACAUGGCAGGUUACAAUUCAAUAAUAAAUAUGAUUGUUCCAGGAAAAAUCUACCAAAAGAUGAGAAAGGCACUAGAGUAGAUGUCAUGUAGUACAGACAAGUAAUAGGUUGUAACUCACCCAGACUUAAUGUUUCGAGUAAGUCUAAUCAGCAAGUUUAUGGCAAAUCCAAAAGAGUCACACUGGUUAGCAACAAAAAGGCUUAUGCGAUAUGUGAAAGGAAUCACAUAGCAUGGGAUUUUUUUAUAGGACAAUAGAAAAGAAACACGAGCCUUAUAGCCUAUACUGACAGUAACCGCAAAAGCAUCUCAAGUCUAGUAUUGAAGAUAGGUUCUGGAGUUGUAUCAUAGGCCUCCAAAAAGCAGCCUAUUGUCAGCUUGUCCACCACUGAGACUGCAUAUAUUGUUGCAACUUCCUAUGCUUGCUAAUGUAUUUGGAUUAGAGGAAUUCUAGAUCGGCUUGGAAUAGAAGAACAAUAAGCAAUUAGAACAAUGAUACUUUGUCAUAAUAGCUUUUUCAUUCAAUUGUCUAAGAAUUCAAUUUUUCAUGGGAAAACCAAACACAUUGUAGUAAGAUUCCAUUUUCUCAUAUAUUUAGUAAAGGCACUAGUGCAAAAACAGUGUAUAGUGUCAUGCGUUCAACGUUGAUAACAGUUGGUUUAACGUGUUUGUGUGUGUAUAUUUUGUGAACAAAUCAACUCCUUCAUAGCUUUUACCUUGUUUUAUCCUCAAGUUUAGUGUGUUUUCUAGUUUUCUUGUGUUUUAUUUAGUAUAUGCUUGUUUUUACUUCUAAUCUCUUUGUUUGAGUGUGUGAAAUAAAUCGAUAGGAAGCAAUUCUAGUGGAGGAAAACAAGCAAGAACUCAAGGGAACAUGUUUUAGGACAAGAAAAGAUUAAUUUGAAGAAAAUACCCAUGUUGGACACUUUUGGAAUUACACAAGAACUUGAAUUUUAGAAUGCUGUCAAAACUGCUUGUAGCUGAGCGGUAGUUGAGCGGCAGCUGAGCUAUAUGUCUCUGGAAUGCUGCAGUUGGGGUACAGCUGUGGUGCAGCUGAGCGCCCUGCUCUCUGGAAUGCUGACGCUGGGGUGCAACUGAGCGGUGACGAUGCUGAUGUGUCAAAAUGGGUUAUUUAAACAUGGGUCUCGCGAUUUUUUGGGCAUUCUUCUCCUCCUGCACUUUAUUCUUCACCUGGAGAGAUUGGGAGAGGCCCUUGAAGGUUAUUUGGGGUGUUGGGAAGCUCUCUCACUCCUCCUUGGGUCUUCAAGCUUCAUCAGUGGUGAUUUUGCCCCCUUUGGGUUGAGGAAGAAGAUGGGUCACAAAUUAGAGAUGAAGUUGCGAAGGGGAGGCGCACAUGGAGCAUGGAGCAGUUGCCAAGAACCUUGGUAAAGGCUUUGCAUCUUCUCUUUGGUUCCAAUUUCUUCCCUAUCUCUUCAAUUUUGUGAACCCUAAGUUCUCCUCCAUGGAGAGUUUUUCCUAUUUGUUGAGAUUAGAUGUAAUCAAUUGAAUCUUGUGUAUUUUGUGAUGUUAAUACAUAUGUUUUUCCAUUUCAAUGUUAGUAUUUGAUUUUUAUGUUUAAUGCUUGCUUUGGAUUGAUCACUCAUGCAUGAAUUAUGGUUCUUGAUGUAUUAGAAAAUUUGACUUGAACUUAGAACUGAAAUUGAACACCUAAUUGAUGGAAUUGAGUUGUUUGUAAAUGCAUGAGAAUGAAGUGGAUGAACUCUAGUCUUGAGAAAUUGUAAAUACACUAUGUUAAAUUCCUUGCACACCAAUUGUUUGAUAAAAUACCAAAAAGAGUUUCUUGUGUUAUUUUGUACACUUUGAUGUCUAAUUGAGUUAUAAAAGGAAGAAUUGUCAUGUGUUGCACAAGUUCCUUGGGAGAGAACGAUAUUUAUCACUUGCUACGCUGCGACCGGUGCACUUGCCAUUGGUUUUGCAACCAAAAAACGUCCAACCACUGAAUAGCCAGCGUUAAAAAUGACUGAUGGCAUUUUUGUAAAUAAAUGAAAUUAUUAAACGUCGUUUAGAAUUUUAAUUCGGCGUAAAAGCAUAUAAAACGUUGAAUGCCCCAACGUUAGACGUCAAAAGGUUAGUGAUCAAUAAAAAUUUGAGCAGGAGAUUGAAAAUUCAUUCACUUUAUCUAGACGCGCGAGACCCUCUUCUCUUCUCAAACUUUUCUUGAACAAAGUUUGAUGACCAUCACAUGAAUCUUUCUUUCAUUUGAUACAAAUGCAUGUUAAUUAACAACUUUAUGUAUGAUUUUCGUUUGUUUUGACCGAUUAUUUUCGUGCUCUUGUCCUUCAUAGGCGUAUUCUGCUUUCUCUUUGACUGGUGACAACACUUUAUUCCGACAAACCCACCUUUUGAAGGUUAGUUUUUAUUUUCGUGUUGAACUUAUUUGUGGAACUUGUUAGUUAUUAUUUUCGUUUGUUUUGACCGAUUAUUUUCAUGCUCUUAUCUUUCAUAGGAGCAUUAUGCUUUCUUUCUCACUGGUGACAACACUAUUCCGACAAAUUCACCUUUUGAAGGUUAGUUUUAAUUUUCGUUUUGAACUUAUUUGUUGAACUUGUUUGUUGUUUUUUUGUUGAACUAGUUUGUUGUUAUUGUUUGGUUAAACUUGUUUAUUGUUGUUUGAUUGAACUUGUUUGUUGUUGGUUCACGUUCAUAGUUCAUGUUUUAUAAAAUACCAAAAACUGAAAUUUGUUGUUUUUCUACUUUUCAGGUCUCCACUACUGGAAAAACGUUGUUUAACGUCGGUUAUUUUGUGCUUUUAAUGUCACCAAUAGAACCGACAUCUAUACGGGUGACGUUAAUGGGACGUCGGUCUUUUACAGGUGCAACGUCUAUAUACACGUCAGUUCAGUUCAAAGAACGACGUCUACAAAGACAUCAGUCAUUAAGAUAAUCGACGUCUUCGGGGCAUUAUAGACGUCGGUUUGUACAUUAACUGACGUCUUUGGGACAUUAUAGACGUCGGUUUGUACAUUAACCGACGUCUAUGAAGUGAUCGUUGUGUUUUGGUGCGGUUUUUGUCGUGUCUUGGGGUAGUGUAGUAGCACCUCCUUCCUUUACUAGUUUCUUCGUAAGAAAAGCUUGCGUCUUUUGGACUUCUCAUGGCAUUUCAACCCAAAGACAAACUUGGGUCAUUGCCUACUUCCAUUCCGACCGCCAAUGAAAAAGAAUACGAUGAGAAAACGGAUGUCUAGAAUUGUAUAUAGGCGUCGAUGUGGCGGGAUCCGACGUCUAUAAGGCUGAAAAGAGUGAUUAUUCACCUAUCUGGCAGACAUAUAGGCGUCCGUUAGAAUGAGACCGACGUCUAUAUGUCUAAGAGGUUGGUGAGUAGUAUUAAUUUCUGCCAUAUAGACGUCGGGGUCAUCAAUGUGCCGGUAUCCGAUGUCUAUAUGGCUGAAAAGAGCGACUAUUCACCUAUCUGGCAGACAUAUAGGCGUCAGUUAGCAAAAGCCCGACGCCUAUAUGUUUGUUAGGUAGGUGAGCAACAUUAAUUCUGCCAUCGAGACGUCGGUGCCCUCCACUAACCAACGUCUAAAAGGCUGAAGGAAAUGACUUUUCACCUAACGAUCAGAAAUAUAGACGUUAGGUUGGAAGGGGCAACAUCUUAAAUUCUAUAGACUUCGGUCAUAAUGGCAAAAAAAUUCGCACCCGUGGAUAUCCGCAGAUAAAAUCUACGACCGAUAGUUGAUACCUGCAGAUAUUUACUACCCGAAACCCGCGGAUAGCGAGUAUUCUAAUACCCGCUUAUAAACGGAUCGGGUGCAGGUAUUAUACUAUCCGUACCCAUGGAUAUCCGCUACCCACAAAAAAUAAAAUAAAAAAUUAAUUUUUAUUUUAUUAAGUUAAAUAUAAUUAAAAUUAACAUUAAUUUAUAUUUUACAAGGUUAAAUUUAAUUAAAAUUGUAGUAUACCUAUCGGAAUUAAUUGUCAUUUAUGGACAAUUAACAAGUAUUAAUAGGUCAUAUUACCUUACUCUUUACAAAAUAUACGGUAUUGAUCAUUGAUUAUUGGGUUUGAUUGCCUAAAAAUAUACUGCAUUAAUUAAUAGGUUAGAUUGUCUUACUCUUUAAUAGGUCAGAUUGUCUUACUCUUUACAAAAUAUACGGUACUAAUUAUUGAUUAUUGGAUUUGAUUGCCUAAAAAUAUACUGCACUAAUGGUUAAUCAAUGGGCUUGCCUGCCAUAAGGUCUAUAAAUAUACAAUUGAUGUCUAGAUACAAUCUUUCUCUUCUAUCCUAAUAAAAUUUAGACCUUUUUAUAUCUUGAGUGUCGGAGUGUCUUCUUCUACACGUCAACAACCCAUCAGAGUGGAUGGCAUUCUCAGGAAGGAUUGAAGAUUAAAAGAGAACAAAGCAAAGAAGAACGACUAACCAUCGAACCAAUUCAACCGAAACAAAAAUUAAAUUUUAAUUUAUAUUUAAUUUAAUUUAUAUUAUAUUUUAUAUAUUCUUUUGUAAUUCUAUUUAAAUUUUAUUUUAAUAAUUUAUAAAAAUAUAUAUUUUUAAAUAUAUGCGGGUAUCCACGGAUAUUCUUAGGUUUUAAAAUAUCCGUGGAUUUUUUUAAGCGGGUAUCUGUGCGGGUAGCGGGUCGAGUAGUGGGUGGAUUUUUUUUUUUGUCGAGUCGGGUUGCGGGUAGGCACUAUCCGUACCCGACCCGACCCAUUGUCAUCCCUAGACAUCGGUGGUAGACCUACCGGACGCCUAUAUUGCCAGAUUAUUUACGAAAAUACCACCGGUCAUCAAUAUACGUCGUUCUUACCCUUAACCGACGUCUAAGGGGUGACGUUAAAUAGUGUUUUUGCACUAGUGCUCGUAGAGUUAUAAAAAAGGAUCACAAUUAAUUAAAAAAACAAAAAAAAAAAAAUUGAUUAAUGUCGUAUAUUGACAAAAUUCGACUUUAAGUUAAUGUCGUAUAUUGACAAAAUUAGUUAAUGUCAAAUUUUUUAAAUUCGACGUCAAUUUAACGUCUCCUGAUAUAACAUUGUUUGUGAAUUUGCAGUUAAAAGUCCAAAAUAUUUGACUUUGUCCGCGAUUUUGAUACUAGUGAGGAUGAAGUUGUGAAAUUAAGUUAUUGCAAAUCAAAAGACAAAAAUGCAGAUGUUAAAGUCAUUAAAGGUGGACAAGUUUGAGAAGCUCGAGGCAUGCUUGGAGAGUAAAUGAAAUAAGUUAGUUGCAUAUGCAUCUAGCUUUAAGGGAGGGAUUAUCAACGAUUUAUUAGUUUGAAUAAAUUUAGUUUAUAAAACCAGUCUUUCUCUAUUCCGCUAUUUUCGGCCUCUUAGCAUACAAAGUGGACUUGCUUACCACUAAAUGUGCUGAUGCAUUGCAUUAUGUUAUUGUACUCGGGCUUAUAUAAGCCAUGUUCAAUUCAUUAAUAACAACAUGGUGUGUUGCUUCCCUCCAACGUGAGCACUUUUGUUUAUUGCAUUUUACAAGCACAACAUACAAACAGAUCCAAUAUUAUAAACAAGUGCCAAUAUUUCAACAUGAUCAAAAGAGAGUUAAAUUAAAUUAUUUCGAUAAUAAUGAUUUAAUGAAUAAAAUAGCUAGACACUUUGUUAACAAAACGCUUCUGAUAUGGAGUUGAAGUUCACAGUUUUCAUGACAAAUCUAAUGGAAUUUUAAAUUUUACGUAAGUUUCAGACAGGGAUAUGUUAGUUGAAGUAAAUUGGUUGUAUCCCUGUACAUGAAUAUUCUAAUUUAUUAAUUUGAAAAAUCAUUUUCCCUAAUUUUAAUAUCUUUAAGGUCUGGACUACAAGUUUCACUAAUUCUGUAUUUUUUUUUAUAUAUAAAAUAUUUCGGAAACAAGUGAUAAACACGAUAUCGAAGGAAGAGAGCGAAGUUGGUACGCAAUUAUAUGGUUGGUUUGACUUGACUCCUUAUAUGAACACUCCUCGUCAACGAAAGAAUACGGCAGCCACUGGGAAGUAACGCUAUCUUUAUUGCCAUGGCCACCAAUUGACAACUCAAACAAAACACUCUUCCCCAUGCUUCCUUCUCCACAGCCAUAAUCAUUCGAAAAACCCUCCAUUUUGCAAAUGGCUGAGGCUUUGCUCGGAAUUGUAAUCCAAAACUUGCAAUCUUUUGGCCAAGACCAACUUGCUACGUUUUGGGGUGUUGACCAACAUACUCAAAAGCUUUCCAGCAAUCUCACUGCAAUCCGUGCUGUCCUUAGAGAUGCUGAGAGAAAACAAAUCACAAGUAAUGCUGUCAAAGAUUGGCUGCAGAAACUCACAGAUGCAGCAUAUGUACUGGAUGAUAUCUUAGAUGAAUGUUCAAUUCACUCCACAAAACUGAAUUUUGAUGAUGGACAUACUUCAUGCCUAUCCCAUCUCCAUCCUAAGGACAUUCUCUUUCGUUUCAAUAUUGGUAAAAGGAUGAAAGACAUCACCCAAAGAUUUCAUGACAUUCACGAAGAAAGGAGCAUGUUUAAUUUAGAACCAAGUGUCACAGAGGUGCAAACAAUCCAUGAUAAUUGGCGCCAAACUAGCUCUGACAUUACAGAACCUAUACUCUAUGGCAGAGACCAGGAUCGAGAGCAAAUUUUGAAGUUUCUUUUGGAAGAUGUUAAUGACAGUGAAGACCUCUCUAUCUAUCCCAUAGUUGGUAUGGGUGGACUUGGAAAAACAACAUUAGCUAAGCAGGUUUUCAAUGAUGACAGGGUAUGCAAACAUUUUGACUUGAC